UCUGUGCUCAAAAAUGUUCAAGUGCGCGCUCAAUAGCAUUUUCUAUGCUCAACAUGUUUCAUUGCAUGCUCAGGAUAGAGGCACAAAUAUAACGCCAUACAAAACCAGCCUGUGCACACACCAGAGAUGGAGUACUCGAGUGCUGAUUUUCGGGACUCGUGACUUGACUCGGACUCGCGCACUGAUUGACGCGACUCGGACUCGGACUCAUGAAUUCUCACGCACGAUGACUUGGACUUGGAUUCGGACUCGAACACAGGUAAUGAUGACUCGUACUCGGACUCGGCUCGGACACUCCUUGGAUGACUCGGACUUGGACUCGAGCAAGUUUUCUCUGUAGUCUGAUGACCUCUGUGUCCUGGCGUGUGCACCUGCGAGGCGAGUUCACGUACUGGGCGCGCCCCCGCUGCUAUACCAGUCUAAAGAUGUCCAGAGACACACCCCGCAUCGUGCUGUAUGCUUUUAAAGAUUUUGUUUCCAUAUUGGGAAAGAGCAGCGCAAAAUGCACAUUAUGUGGACAGAAGAUAGAAGAGAAGACUGGGACAACGUCGAAUUUCAAUCGACACCUUUCACGGCGGCACCCAGAAAAGAAUCGUCUGGGGGCCCGUAAUCAGCCCAAGCAGAUCAUGCCGGAGAUGGUACCCCCACUCUGAGUCUCCCUCUGCACGAACCACAGCACGUCCCGCCAGACCAGAACAUCUAAUCAUCCAUAUCAUAUGAAUUGAUAUGGAGGGCCAUAUCAAUUCAUUGUUACUUCUUGCAAUAAACCUACAAACAUCA